GAGCCUUCCGACCGGACUACAACCCCCAGAGGAACCUCGCCGAACCGCAGGAGCCAGGCCGCCGGCGCCAUCUUGAAAUCUGAUGCUCAAUCGGCCUGGCUUUGCGUCAGCCCUCGUCGGCUGCUAGAGUCCCAGAGCCCUGCCUGCUAACCCGGGAGGACGUAGAGGACGCGGCGGCUGGCAGGAGAGACAGCUGUGAGAGACUUGGCGAGGUCGGACCGGGACCCGCGCUGCUGUCAGUCAGCAUCCCCCUGAGGCGUUUCCACUCCCGCCCCACUGCCGGAGGGGCGGGGCCGACCACUGUGGUACCCAGAGCGGCGCGCGGUGCUGAGGUGCCCCCUGCGGGGUGGGGACCCCACGGGACUGUACCAUGCCAGCAGGACACCUCCGAGGCCAAAGACGGAGCGCAACCCGGAGAGAGUGAGCGGUCACUCAGCAACCUCCGCAGGAAAAGCUCGGCACCCGCUAGGAGCGAAGAUGAAGGAGGUUUGCAGGAUCUGUGCCCGGGAGCUGUGUGGAAACCAGCGGCGCUGGAUCUUCCACACUGCGUCCAAGCUCAACCUCCAGGUUCUGCUUUCGCACGUCCUAGGCAAGGAUGUCACUCGCGAUGGCAAAGCCGAGUUUGCUUGCAGCAAAUGUGCUUUCAUGCUUGAUCGAAUCUAUAGAUUCGACACUGUUAUUGCCCGGAUCGAAGCCCUUUCUAUUGAGCGCUUGCAGAAGCUGCUACUGGAAAAGGAUCGCCUAAAGUUCUGCAUUGCCAGUAUGUAUCGGAAGAAUAACGAUGACUCUGGCGCGGAGACCAAGGCGGGGAGUGGGACGGUUGACAUUUCCGGUUUGCCCGAUAUGAGAUACUCUGCCUUGCUCCAGGAAGACUUUGCCUAUUCAGGGUUUGAGUGCUGGAUAGAAAAUGAAGAUCAGAUUCAGGAAUCACACAGUUGUCAUGCGUCGGAAGGCCCUGGAAACCGACCCAGGAGAUGCCGUGGUUGUGCAGCUUUGCGGGUUGCUGAUUCUGACUAUGAAGCUAUUUGUAAGGUGCCUCGAAAAGUGGCCAGAAGUAUUUCUUGUGGUCCCUCCAGUAGGUGGUCUACCAGCAUUUGCACGGAAGAACCUGCGUUGUCAGAGGUUGGGCAACCGGAUUUAGGAAGCACAAAGGUGUCCCGGGAUGGAGAAAGCAUGGAGGAAGGAACACCAGGUUCCUCUGUAGAAUCUUUGGAUGCCAGUGUCCAGGCUAGUCCUCCACAACAGAAGGAUGAGGAAACUGAGAGAAGUGCAAAGGAACUUGUAAAGUGUGACUGUUGUUCAGAUGAACAGGCUCCACGGCAUAUGUGUAAUCACAAACUGGAGCUAGCUCUUAGCAUAAUUAAAAGUCUUGAUUAUAAGCCCAUCCAGAGUCCCCGAGGGAGCAAGCUUCCUAUUCCAGUGAAAUCCAGCCCACCUGGAACCAAGCCUGGCCCUAUCAUGACAGAUGGAGUUAGUUCCAGUUUCCUUAACAGGUCUUUGAAACCCGUAUACAAGACACCUGUGAGUUAUCCCUUGGAGUUUUCAGACUGGCAGGAGCUGUGGGAUGAUCUCUGUGAAGAGUAUUUGCCACUCCGCAUCCAGCCUAUGCCUGAAGUGUCACUCAAACAACAAAAGCAGAAUUCAGAUGAGACCACUAUAACUCAGCAGUCUGUAUCUGAUUCCCAUGUGGCAGAACUUCAGGAAAAAAUUCAGCAAACCGAGGCCACCAACAAGAUUCUUCAAGAGAAACUGAAUGAAAUGAGCUCUGAACUAAAGUUUGCUCAGGAGUCAUCUCAGAAGCAAGAUGGUACAAUUCAAAGCCUCAAGGAAACUCUGAAAAGCAGGGAAAGUGAGACUGAGGAGUUGUACCAGGUGAUUGAAGGUCAAAAUGACACAAUGGCAAAGCUUCGAGAAAUGCUGCACCAAAGCCAGCUUGGACAGCUUCAUAGCUCAGAGACUACUUCACCAGCUCAGCAACAGGUGGCUCUGCUUGAUCUUCAGAGUGCUUUAUUCUACAGCCAGCUUGAAAUACAGAAGCUCCAGAGGGUGGUACGACAGAAGGAACGCCAACUUGCUGAUGCCAAGAGAUGUGUGCAAUUUGUGGAGGCUGCAGCACAGGAGAGAGAACAGCAGAAAGAAGCUUCUUGGAAACAUAACCAGGAGUUGCGGAAAGCUUUGCAGCAACUACAAGGAGAAUUGCAGAAUAAGAACCAACAACUUCGUACCCUGGAGGCUGAAAAAUACAGUGAGAUUCGAACCCAGGAACAAAACAUUCAAUACCUAAACCAUAGUCUAAGUCACAAGGAGCAGCUGCUUCAGGACUUUCAGGAGCUCCUACAGUAUCGUGAUAACUCAGAAAAAACCCUUGAAGCAAAUGAAAUGUUGCUUGAGAAACUUCGGCAACGAAUACAUGACAGAGCUAUUGCUCUAGAGCAGGCUAUCGAUGAAAAGUUCUCUGCUUUAGAAGAAAAAGAAAAAGAACUGCGCCAGCUUCAUCUUGCGGUGAGAGAGCGAGAUCAUGACUUAGAGAGACUGCGCCAUGUCCUCUCCUCUAAUGAAAUUACCAUGCAUAGCAUGGAGACUCUCCUGAGAGCCAAAGGCCUAGAAGUGGAACAGUUAACUGCUACCUGUCACAACCUCCAGUGGCUACAAGAAGAGAUGAAAUCCAAAUUUAGCCAUUGGCAGAAGGAACAAGAGAGUAUCGUUCAGCAGUUACAGACAUCUCUUCAUGACAGGAACAAAGAAGUGGAGGAUCUUAGUGCAACAUUGCUCUGCAAACUUGAACCAGGGCAGAGUGAAAUAGCUGAAGAGCUGUGCCAGCGUUUACAGCGAAAAGAAAAGAUGCUGCAGGACCUCCUAAGUGAUCGCAACAAACAAGCUGUGGAACAUGAAAUGGAGGUUCAGGCUCUGCUUCAAUCUGUGAGCACCAGGGAGCAGGAGAGACAAGCUGCUGCAGAGAAGAUGGUGCAAGCACUAAUGGAAAGAAAUUCAGAAUUACAGGCUCUGCGCCAGUAUGUAGGAGGGAAAAACUUGAUGGUGGCGCAAGCACUCAUCUCUAACCAACAAGUUGAAGUUACUUCCAUCAGCCCCCAUCUCGGAGAGCAAACUGAUCAAGUGUCAGUGCAGAUACCCUCCAGAAAUGAUAGCCCUUCAUUAACUGCUAAAGAAGAUGCCAGCAUUCCCAGGUCCACAUUAGGAGACUUGGAUACAGUUGCAGAGCUGGAGAAAGAGCUGAGUAAUGCCAAAGAGGAACUUGUACUUAUGACUAAAAAAGAAAGAGAAAGUCGGAUGGAACUUUCUGCUCUACAGUCUAUGAUGGCUGUGCAAGAAGAAGAGCUGCAGGUGCAGGCUGCUGAUCUGGAGUCCCUGACCAGAAAAAUACAGAUAAAAGAAGACCUCAUAAAGGACCUGCAAAUGCAACUGGUUGAUCCUGAAGACAUACCAGCUAUGGAACGCCUGACACAAGAAGUCUUACUUCUUCGAGAAAAAGUUGCUUCAGUGGAAUCCCAGGGUCAAGAAAUUUCAGGAAACCGAAGACAACAGUUGUUACUGAUGCUGGAAGGACUAGUAGAUGAAAGGAGUCGACUCAAUGAGGCCUUACAAGCUGAGAGACAACUCUAUAGUAGUCUGGUGAAAUUCCAUGCCCAUCCAGAGAGCUCUGAGAGAGACCAAACUCUGCAGGUGGAACUGGAAGGGGCCCAGGUAUUACGCAAUCGGCUAGAAGAAGUUCUUGGAAGAAGCCUGGAGCGCUUAAGCAGGCUGGAGACCCUGGCCGCCGUUGGAGGUGGGGAACUGGAAGGUGUGGCUGCAGCAGGAGAUGACACUGAAGAUGCAAGCACUGAGUUCACUGACAGUAUUGAGGAGGAGGCUGCACACAACAGCCACCAGCACCUCACCAAGGUGGCUUUGGAGAAAAGCCUGGCAACUAUGGAGACCCAGAACACAUCUCUUUCUCCUCCAUCCCCAGUAGGAGGGGACAGUAACAGGUGUCUUCAGGAGGAAAUGCUCCACCUGAGGGCUGAGAUUCACCAGCACUUAGAGGAGAAGAGAAAAGCUGAAGGGGAACUCAAGGAGCUAAAGGCUCAAAUUGAGGAAGCAGGAUUCUCCUCUGUGUCCCACAUCAGGAACACCAUGUUGAGCCUUUGCCUUGAGAAUGCAGAGCUGAAAGAGCAGAUGGGAGAAGCAAUGUCUGAUGGAUGGGAGAUGGAGGAAGACAAGGAGAAAGGCGAGGUGAUGGUGGAGACUGUGGUCGCCAAAGGGGAUCUGAAUGAGAAUACCCUUCAGGCUGAGUUCAGAAAGCUCCAGGGAAAACUGAAGAAUGCCCACAACAUCAUCAACCUCCUCAAAGAACACUUGGUACUAAACAGCAAGGAAGGGAAUAAUAAACUUACUCCAGAGUUCCUUGCACACCUGACCAGGGAGAUUGACAGAAUGAACACAAACCUGGUUUGUUCUUCUGGGAAGAACCAAUGCCAAGAUGAGGAGAAGUUGACCACAAGGCCUUGCCCCAGACCCCAGAGCCUUGACCUUGGGGCUGCCCACCAAUUGGAUAACCAGUCCCAGGUCCAGGAUACUAGGCCUCAGUCAGAAUUUAGCCUGCGGGGUUCUACCAAGCACCUGCGCUCUCAGCUGGCUCAGUGCCGACAAUGCUAUCAAGAUCUUCAGGAAAAGCUACUGAUUUCAGAAGCCACCGUCUUUGCCCAGGCAAACCAGCUGGAGAAGUACAGAGCCAUAUUUACAGGUGAAUCCCCGGUGAAGCAGGACAGCAAGCAGGUCCAGGUGGAUCUCCAGGACCUGGGUUAUGAGACUUGUGGUCGAAGUGAAAAUGAGGCUGAACGUGAGGAGACUACCAGCCCUGACUGUGAGGAGCACAACAGCCUCAGGGACACAGUGCUCAUGGAAGGACUGUGCUCUGAGCAGGGGCGCCUGGGCCCAGCCCUCAACCACCUUCCUGGAAAGAAGCCUUCAGAGACCCAGCUAGGGAAGCAGGAAGAGUCCCAGGCAUAUGGAAGGUCGGAAAACAUCACUGUCCUACAAAAGGACAUUAAAGAUCUGAAAGCCCAGCUGCAGAAUGCCAACAAAGUCAUUCAGAACCUCAAGAGCCGUGUCCGGUCUCUCUCGGUUACAAGUGAUUAUUCAUCUAGUCUGGAAAGACCCCGGAAGCUAAGGGCUGUUGGCACCCUUGAGGGGUCUUCACCCCAUAGUGUCACUGACGAGGAUGAGGGGUGGCUGUCUGAUGGCACUGGGGCUUUCUACCCAUCAGGGCUUCAGGCCAAAAAGGAUCUGGAGAGUCUUAUCCAAAGAGUAUCCCAGCUGGAGGCCCAGCUCCCAAAAACUGGAAUAGAAGGGAAGCUGGCUGAAGAGCUGAGAUCAGCCUCGUGGCCUGGAAAAUAUGAUUCCCUGAUUCAGGAUCAGGCCCGAGAACUAUCCUACCUACGGCAAAAAAUACGAGAAGGGAGGGGUAUUUGUUAUCUUCUCACUCAGCAUGCAAAAGAUACAGUAAAAUCUUUUGAGGAUCUCCUAAGGAGCAAUGAUAUUGACUACUACCUGGGGCAGAGCUUCCGGGAGCAACUUGCCCAGGGAAGUCAAUUGAGUGAGAGACUUACCAGCAAACUCAGCACCAAGGAUCAUAAAAAUGAGAAAGAACAAGCUGAACUUGAGCCACUGGCCCUCAGGCUCAGCAGGGAGCUGCAGGAGAAGGAAAAAGUGAUUGAAGUCCUGCAGGCCAAGCUGGAUGCCCAGUCUCUCUCACUCCCCAGCAGCCAUGCCUUGUCUGACUCCCACCGUUCUCCUAGCAGCACCUCCUUCUUAUCUGAUGAGCUGGAAGCCUGCUCUGACAUGGAUGUAGCCAGCGAGUAUACACAUUAUGAAGAGAAGAAAACUUCACCUGGUCACUCAGAUUCCAUCCAUCAUUCAAGUCAUUCUGCUGUAUUGUCUUCUAAACCAUCAGUAACCAGUGCAUCUCAGGGGGUUAAGGCCGAGUCCAGCAGCAAACCUAUCAGCUUGCCAACUUCCCAGAAUGCCCCCAAGGAGGCCAUCCAGGGCCAUCCAGGCUUUCAUUUUAACUCCAUACCCAAGCCGGUUAACCUUCCCCAGGCUCCAUUGCCCUCAGCUCCAUCCAGUUUCCUGCCCUUCAGCCCCCUUGGUCCUCCCUUCCUUGGCUGCUGUGAGACACCGGUGGUGUCCUUGGCCGAGGCCCAACAGGAGUUGCAGAUGCUGCAGAAGCAGUUGGGAGAAAGUGCCAGCACUGUUCCUCCUGCUUCCACAACCACAUUGCUGAGCAGCCAUUCAGAAACCAGCUCUUCCCACUACCUCAACACUGCCCAAUCCCACUCUCCAAUGAGGGGCACCACAGAACUGGGCAGAAUCCUGGAACCUGGGUAUCUGAGUAGCAAUGGCCAAUGGGACAUCAUGAGACCUCAGAAAGGGAGUGUCUCUGGGGACAUCUCUUCAGGUUCUUCGGUGUGUCAGCUUAACUCCAAACCCACAGGGGCUGACCUGCUGGAAGAGCAUCUUGGUGAAAUCCGGAACCUGCGCCAACGCCUGGAAGAGUCCAUCUGUAUCAAUGACCGCCUGAGGGAGCAGCUGGAACACCGGCUCAGCUCCACUGCUCGUGAUAGUGGAUCCACUUCUCAUUUCUAUGGUCAGAGCCUGGAGUCUGUGCCUCAGCUCUACAAUGAGAACCGAGCCCUCAGGGAAGAAAACCGGAGUCUUCAGGCUCAGCUGAGUCAUGUUUCCAGAGGGCACUCACAGGAAACAGAAUGCCUGAAAGAAGCUCUGUUCUCCUCUCGAUCCCGGCUUCAAGAGCUGGAAAAGGAGCUGGAGCAGCAGAAGGUGGAGCGGCAGCAACUUUUGGAAGACUUGCAGGAGAAGCAACAGGAAAUCUUGCAUUUCAGGGAGGAACGUCUGUCCCUCCAGGAAAAUGAUUCCAGACUGCAGCACAAGCUGGCCCUCCUGCAGCAACAGUGUGAAGAAAAACAUCAGCUCUUCCAGUCCUUGCAGUCGGAGCUACAGAUCUAUGAGGCACUUCAUGGAAAUUCUAAAAAAGGACUAAAAGCUUUCAGCCUGGAUGGCUGUCACCAAUUUCCUUUAAGCAGUGACAUGAACCACCUGGUGGCAGAGAUACGAGCUCUGAGAGGGCAGCUACAGCAGAGCAUUCAAGUGAAUAAUUGUCUGCGGCUACAGCUGGAGCAGCAGUUGGAUGGUGGUACUGGCAAAGGCAUCCUCAGUCCCUCCUCCGUGAGCCAGAACAUCCCAGCUAACCCUGACCCUGGAAAUAAGCAGUCACUCUUUCAAGAUUCGGUUACUUCCCCUCCAGUUCGUGAUAUUGGCAUGAAUGCUGCUCUGGUCCUCCCCAACUCUUCUUCCUCUUCUCCUGGCUCAGACACUGCCAUUGUCACCAGAACAAAUGAGCUGGAUUUGGAUGCUCCUCCAGGAAUGAAGAACCCUCCCAAGCUGGAGGGUGAAGCUUCUGAUGGCUCCUUUGCCAAUAAGCAUGGCCGCCAUGUCAUAGGUCACAUUGAUGACUAUACUGCUCUCAGAGAGCAGAUUGGGAAGGGAAAACAGCUGGUCCAAAAGAUCCUGUCUCUCCUGAAGCUCACAUGCAACUUCCUGGGCCUUGAAGCUCAGAGCUCAGAGGUACCAGGCAACAAAGGAGUCCGUGAGCUAUACAGCAAUAUCAGUGCCCUGCACCACACCCUAGAGGAGUCAGCCUCCCUCUUGACCAUGUUCUGGCGAGCGGCCCUGCCAAGCUCCCAUGGCCCUGUACUGCCUAGCAAAGUGGAUGAGCUAAUGGAAAAGGAGCUCCUGGAUCUGCGAGCCCAAGUAUCCAAGCAGGAGAAGCUCCUUCACAGCACAGCUGAGCGUCUGAAGACUGCCAACCAGCAGAAGGAGAACAUGGAGCAGUUCAUCGUCAGCCAGCUGACCAGGACACAUGAUGUUUUGAAGAAGGCAAGAACUAAUUUGGAGCCUCUGUAGCACAACACUUACAAGAUUGCCUCUGUACAGCCUUAUCCUGUCCCAGCCAAGGUGAAAUCCCUAAGGGCCCUGGUGUGCACUCCAGCCUUGUGACCCUUGCCUUCCAGGAGCCACACAAGAAGCAAAGACACCACAGGUCCUUAAAGCAUCAGGAAGAAUGGGCCUGCUCCUCUUUUGCACAACUGCCUGUCUUCUGAGGAGAAUCUGGGCCCAAUUCCUCCAAACUUGGUGGAGGUCUGAAGAUGCAGUCAGAGAUGUAUCCUAGUGGGGUAGGCAGAAAGGUGGAAUGACUUUCUGGCAGUGAUGGAAUAAAAGUAGCCAAAUUCCACUGGGCCUAGCAUUAAGCAAAGCGCACAUAAGAUUGCAUAGUAGCACUUGUGACUCUGCUUCUGAACAGCCUCAGUGGCACAGCACCUGCUAGAGCACGGUUCUCACUUCAACAGCUAUCCUCAGAUGGUCAACUCAAAGGAAAUAGUUGCCUCCAUGCAUGGGGCCUGUGAUCCCAACGCUGGAGCUCCUCCACAGUUACAGAAGCACACUACUGAGCAGCAGUGCCCUGUUGGACAGCGUCAGUGGGGCUUAGCAAGCACUGCUCACAGAUCCACACCUGACCAGGUAGCUUCUCUGGGCCAAGCCAGGCUGGGCUUCAUGUUGUACCAUCAGGUCUGAGCACUUUGAUUCUGUGUGGGGAAGGUGGUGACUUGCUAGAUGCCCUCUCAUGCUUAGACUAGCAGGAUCUUCUUCAUUUCUUACAUGUUCUCCAAAUUGUACUGCCCCCCACCCCCAUUAGAUGUGCUGUCCCAUUUUAUCAUCCUAACUUCCCUCAGGCAAAUUGGGAACUGAUGGGCACGUCGAGCCUGUUUAAAGUCUUGCAUAUGGCAGCCCUCUGCUUGUUUGUAAGUGGUGUGGGCAAGACCCAGUUGUACUGAAGCCUCGUCUGUGUCUUCAGAGUACUCUUAGGAUGUGGAUAUGUGUGUAUAAAUGUAUGAUAGAGAUUUAUUUAUGUUGCUGUAGCCAUAUGUUGAAGGCCAACAUAACUCAUGGGUGGGGAGGAUGAGAUGAAACAACAGUCUUUUUGGUGACUAUUAAAGAAAAAUGUGUAUAAAGAAAUAG